UGGGGAAUAUUGCACAAUGGAGGGAACUCUGAUGCAGCGACGCCGCGUGAACGAAGAAGGCUUUCGAGUCGUAAAGUUCUUUUAUAGGGGAAGAUAAUGACGGUACCAUAAGAAAAAGCCCCGGCUAACUACGUGCCAGCAGCCGCGGUAAUACGUAGGGGGCUAGCGUUGUCCGGAAUCACUGGGCGUAAAGGGUUCGCAGGCGGAAAUGCAAGUCAGGUGUAAAAGGCAGUAGCUUAACUACUGUAAGCAUUUGAAACUGCAUAUCUUGAGAAGAGUAGAGGUAAGUUGAAUUUUUAGUUUAGCGGUGAAAUGCGUAGAUAUUAAAAAGAAUACCGGUGGCGAAGGCGGCUUACUGGGCUCAUUCUGACGCUGAGGAACGAAAGCGUGGGUAGCAAACAGG
rnacentral:rRNA from 1 species